rnacentral:rRNA from 1 species
UACGGAGGAUGCGAGCGUUAUCCGGAUUUAUUGGGUUUAAAGGGUGCGUAGGCGGCUUUUUAAGUCAGCGGUGAAAUUUUGCAGCUUAACUGUAACAGUGCCGUUGAUACUGGGGAGCUAGGAUUUGGUUGCUGUGGGUGGAAUGUGUGGUGUAGCGGUGAAAUGCUUAGAGAUCACACAGAAUAUCGAUUGCGAAGGCGGCUCACAAAGCCAAGAUUGACGCUGAGGCACGAAAGUGUGGGGAUCAAACAGGAUUAGA